GGGAGCAUAAUCAUUAGUUUUUUAAUUGAAGGCUAGAAUGAAUGGUUAGACAAGAAAUAGGCUGUCUUAAUUAAAAAUAUUGAAUUUAACUUUUAAGUGAGAAGGCUUAAAUAAUUUGAUGGGACGAUAAGACCCUAUAAAACUUUACAUUUGAAAAUAAGAGUAAAUUUUAUUUGAUAGUUAUUAUUUUAGAGUGUUUGGUUGGGGCGACAGUAGUAAAAGGUAGAGUAACUGCUUUUUUUUUUUUACAAUAAUAUUUGGUUAGGUGAUCCUAAAAGGGAUUAAAAGAUUAAGUUACUUUAGGGAUAACAGCGUAAUUUUCUUUGAGAGUUCUUAUCGACAGGAGAGUUUGCGACCUCGAUGUUGAAUUAAAAGUUCUUUAUGGAGUAGAGACUAUAAA
rnacentral:rRNA from 1 species